AUUCAACUGACGAGUCCCAAAUAGGACGAAACGUUGUGUGUCCUGGAU
rfam:Schistosoma mattheei strain Denwood, Zambia genome assembly, scaffold: SMTD_scaffold0025580